AACGCACAUUGCACUCUCUGGUAUUCCGGAGAGUAUGCUUGUUUGAGUAUCUGUAAACAUCUCAACUCUCACGGCGCUUGCGUCGAGAGGAUUGGAUUUGAGCGAUCCCGACUCCUUCGUGAGAAAGAGGAGGGUCGCUUGAAAUGCAGGUGCAGCAGGACAUUCUUCUGAGCUAAAAGCAUAUCUAUUUAGUCCCGUCAAACGGAUUAUUACUUUUGCUUCAGCUAACACAAAGGUUGAAUGAACCACAAUCGCUGAUUGCAGGAAAACUCGUUCGUAACAGAACUUGUGAACUCGAUCUCAAAUCAAGUAAGACUACCCGCUGAACUUAA
rnacentral:misc_RNA from 1 species